rnacentral:rRNA from 1 species
AGUGAACGCUGGCGGGAGGCCUAACACAUGCAAGCCGAGCGGGAUUUGAGACUAGCUUGCUAGUCUUAAUGAGAGCGGCGUACGGGUGCGGAACACAUGUGCAACCUGCCUUUAUCUGGGAGAUAGCCUUUCGAAAGGAAGAUUAAUAUCCCAUAAUAUAAUGAUUGGCAUCAAUUAUUAUUGAAAGCUCCGGCGGAUAAAGAUGGGCACGCGCAAGAUUAGAUAGUUGGUGAGGUAACGGCUCGCCAAGUCGAUGAUCUUUAGGGGGCCUGAGAGGGUGAUCCCCCACACUGGUACUGAGACACGGACCAGACUCCUACGGGAGGCAGCAGUGAGGAAUAUUGGACAAUGGGUGAAAGCCUGAUCCAGCCAUCACGCGUGAAGGAUUAAGGACCUAUGGUUUGUAAACUUCUUUUCUACAGGGAUAAACCUACUCUCGUGAGAGUAGCUGAAGGUACUGUAGGAAUAAGCACCGGCUAACUCCGUGCCAGCAGCCGCAGUAAGAC